CGGGUGUAGCUCAGUGGUAGAGCGCUACCUUGCCAAGGUAGCUGUCGACGGUUCGAAUCCGUUCACCC
rnacentral:tRNA from 1 species